CACGUAGGCACCAAGCGUUGUCCGGAUUUAUUGGGCGUAAAGAGCUUGUAGGCGGUUCGGUUAGUCGGGUGUGAAACCUCUGGGCUCAACUCAGAGACGCCACCCGAUACUGCUGUGACUAGAGUGCGGUAGGGGGAGCGGGGAAUUCCUGGUGUAGCGGUGAAAUGCGCAGAUAUCAGGAGGAACACCAGUGGCGAAGGCGCCGCUCUGGGCCGUAAACUGACGCUGAGAAGCGAAAGCGUGGGGAGCAAACAGG
rnacentral:rRNA from 1 species